GCACUGCUGCCGUAGCUGUCAACCCCCCUUUCCGGGUUUCCACAGUCCACCUCCACGUGCGUGAUAUCCGACUGGAGUGAUGUCAACAAACUCUCUGAUUACGAAUGGAGACGAGGACGAGGAGUUGGACGUGUUUGUGGCCCUGCACGCCGGGGCCCUGCAGUCCUCCGGGAUCCCCCCGAUCUACUGGAGGAGCCUCCAUCACAAAAUCACCAACGAGAUUUACGAUGCUGGGGAAGUUUUCGGAAUCAUGCAUUUCCAAGAAGAAGACGACGACGACUCGCAGGAAGGUGAAGGGAAUAACGAGAGGAAGAGUCCUGCACCAGAGAUCCGCUGUAAAGUGCUUGUGACCCGGGAGAGUGGGCUGCAAGCCUCUGAGCCAACCAGUGUGUACCUGGUGGAUCACGCCUGGACGUACCGCGUGGACCAUGCCCGUCAGCAGCUGGAGAACACCCCCGGCCUGCUGCCCAGAAUGGCCGCCCUCGUGGGGGUGGACUUCCACGGCGAGGCCCCCGACCCGGAUACGGUGGAGAUGGUGAUGGAGCGCAUGUGGAAGCACAACCAGACUUAUAAACUCUCCCAGGGGUCUCCUGAGGAUAAAGUACCGGUGUGGUACAUCGUGGAUGAGUUCGGCUCCCGGCUGCAGCACUCCGACCAGCCCAGCUGCAGCAUGGCUCCCUUCUUCUACGUCCAGGGCGGGCUGGCCUACUCUGUGCUCUGGCCCCUGCAGGACCUGCAGGAGGGAGAUGAAGUGACACGAGACUAUACGUUUGGAGAGACGGACCCCCUUUUGAGGCGAUGCCGUCUGUUACCAUGGAUACCUGACCAUCUAGAAGGGGUCAGCAGUGUCACGACUGAGCCCCCGGACUCGUACUACGAGGCCAUUGCGUUGGAGAACAAGGAGCUGCUUCCAGUGGACAUCCAACCCUUCUCUGUGCCCGAGGACAAAAUCCUCAAGGUUUACUCCGACAUGUCACAAGUAAGAAACAACCUGACUCACCUACGGUUCCAGCUGACGGAGGAGGAGGAGGAGGCUGAUAUUGUUUGGAUCUAUACUCACAUCAAAGACUACAGGAAGCUGAGCGAGGAACGACCCCAUGUGAUGCUUAACCAGUUUCCCUGCGAGAGCAUCGUCACCGUGAAGGACUGCAUGGCCGCCGUGGCCCGCAGAGCGGGAGGCGGCUCCCGGCCCGAGUGGUUACCAGAGACCUUCAACCUCCAGUCAGAGCUGCCGCAGUUCGUCAAGCGCUAUCAACAGAGGCAACAAAGGGGAGAGGAUAACCACUGGAUCUGUAAGCCCUGGAACUUGGCACGUGGCCUGGACACACACAUCACCAACAACCUGGACUACAUAAUCAGACAGAGAGAGAGUACACCAAAGGUGGUGUGUAAGUACCUUGAAGAUCCAGUGCUGUUCAACAGAGAGGAGGUGGGAAUGGUGAAGUUUGACAUCCGCUACAUGCUGAUGGUGCGCUCUGUGCAGCCUCUGCGCCUCUAUGCCUAUGACGUCUUCUGGCUGCGCUUUGCUAAUAGACCUUUCUCCUUGGACCAUCUGGAUGAUUACCAAAAGCACUUCACCGUCAUGAACUACACCGACGCUGUGGAGCUGAAGCAGGUGCACUACGAUGACUUCAUCCCCAUGUUUGAGAAGCAGUACCCACUGUAUCCAUGGAAGGGGGUGGAAGCAGAGGCGUUCAAGGCCUUCGGGGAGUUCUUCCAGGCCGCCUCGUGCCGCCCGGCUCCGUGUGGUGUGUGUCCGUACCCGUCGUCCCGGGCCAUCUAUGCCGUGGACCUCAUGCUGAAGUGGAGUACGGGGCAAAAUGGUGAGCGCGUCAUGAAGCCUCAGAUCCUGGAGUUCAACUUCAGCCCAGACUGCGCCAGGGCCUGCCUCUACCACCCCUCCUUCUACAACCACAUGUUCCAGACGCUGUUCCUGGAUCAGCCCGAGCACUGUCCGGUCACACAAAUCGCAUGAUCCUCUGUCUUUGUCUGUAACCGGUGUACCAUCUACGCUCCAGUUGAUAUUCACAUAUUCCUUGUGAAUCUUUAAAUCAUUUGCGAUGAACCUCAAGUAUUAACUCUGUUCAGAUGGAAAUAGAACAACAACUGCUAAGUGUGUUAAUGUGCAGAAGAGGAAAUGUAUUCAUUUGAUGUGUGAAAAGUUGUUAGGCAAAAACAAAUCUAUUUGACCCUGUUAUUAUUGGGUUAAAGAUGACUGGUCAGUGGUUUGUAACUGUUGGUGUAACUUGUAUCUACCUUUGUGCUGUAGAUUUACCUCAUGAGUCAUGAAGAUCAGGCCCAAGAACACAGAGCUGAUAUGAAUUGAGUGCACUACGAUGACUUCAUCCCCAUGUUUGAGAAGCAGUACCCACUGUAUCCAUGGAAGGGGGUGGAAGCAGAGGCGUUCAAGGCCUUCGGGGAGUUCUUCCAGGCCGCCUCGUGCCGCCCGGCUCCGUGUGGUGUGUGUCCGUACCCGUCGUCCCGGGCCAUCUAUGCCGUGGACCUCAUGCUGAAGUGGAGUACGGGGCAAAAUGGUGAGCGCGUCAUGAAGCCUCAGAUCCUGGAGUUCAACUUCAGCCCAGACUGCGCCAGGGCCUGCCUCUACCACCCCUCCUUCUACAACCACAUGUUCCAGACGCUGUUCCUGGAUCAGCCCGAGCACUGUCCGGUCACACAAAUCGCAUGAUCCUCUGUCUUUGUCUGUAACCGGUGUACCAUCUACGCUCCAGUUGAUAUUCACAUAUUCCUUGUGAAUCUUUAAAUCAUUUGCGAUGAACCUCAAGUAUUAACUCUGUUCAGAUGGAAAUAGAACAACAACUGCUAAGUGUGUUAAUGUGCAGAAGAGGAAAUGUAUUCAUUUGAUGUGUGAAAAGUUGUUAGGCAAAAACAAAUCUAUUUGACCCUGUUAUUAUUGGGUUAAAGAUGACUGGUCAGUGGUUUGUAACUGUUGGUGUAACUUGUAUCUACCUUUGUGCUGUAGAUUUACCUCAUGAGUCAUGAAGAUCAGGCCCAAGAACACAGAGCUGAUAUGAAUUGAGUGCACUACGAUGACUUCAUCCCCAUGUUUGAGAAGCAGUACCCACUGUAUCCAUGGAAGGGGGUGGAAGCAGAGGCGUUCAAGGCCUUCGGGGAGUUCUUCCAGGCCGCCUCGUGCCGCCCGGCUCCGUGUGGUGUGUGUCCGUACCCGUCGUCCCGGGCCAUCUAUGCCGUGGACCUCAUGCUGAAGUGGAGUACGGGGCAAAAUGGUGAGCGCGUCAUGAAGCCUCAGAUCCUGGAGUUCAACUUCAGCCCAGACUGCGCCAGGGCCUGCCUCUACCACCCCUCCUUCUACAACCACAUGUUCCAGACGCUGUUCCUGGAUCAGCCCGAGCACUGUCCGGUCACACAAAUCGCAUGAUCCUCUGUCUUUGUCUGUAACCGGUGUACCAUCUACGCUCCAGUUGAUAUUCACAUAUUCCUUGUGAAUCUUUAAAUCAUUUGCGAUGAACCUCAAGUAUUAACUCUGUUCAGAUGGAAAUAGAACAACAACUGCUAAGUGUGUUAAUGUGCAGAAGAGGAAAUGUAUUCAUUUGAUGUGUGAAAAGUUGUUAGGCAAAAACAAAUCUAUUUGACCCUGUUAUUAUUGGGUUAAAGAUGACUGGUCAGUGGUUUGUAACUGUUGGUGUAACUUGUAUCUACCUUUGUGCUGUAGAUUUACCUCAUGAGUCAUGAAGAUCAGGCCCAAGAACACAGAGCUGAUAUGAAUUGAGUGCACUACGAUGACUUCAUCCCCAUGUUUGAGAAGCAGUACCCACUGUAUCCAUGGAAGGGGGUGGAAGCAGAGGCGUUCAAGGCCUUCGGGGAGUUCUUCCAGGCCGCCUCGUGCCGCCCGGCUCCGUGUGGUGUGUGUCCGUACCCGUCGUCCCGGGCCAUCUAUGCCGUGGACCUCAUGCUGAAGUGGAGUACGGGGCAAAAUGGUGAGCGCGUCAUGAAGCCUCAGAUCCUGGAGUUCAACUUCAGCCCAGACUGCGCCAGGGCCUGCCUCUACCACCCCUCCUUCUACAACCACAUGUUCCAGACGCUGUUCCUGGAUCAGCCCGAGCACUGUCCGGUCACACAAAUCGCAUGAUCCUCUGUCUUUGUCUGUAACCGGUGUACCAUCUACGCUCCAGUUGAUAUUCACAUAUUCCUUGUGAAUCUUUAAAUCAUUUGCGAUGAACCUCAAGUAUUAACUCUGUUCAGAUGGAAAUAGAACAACAACUGCUAAGUGUGUUAAUGUGCAGAAGAGGAAAUGUAUUCAUUUGAUGUGUGAAAAGUUGUUAGGCAAAAACAAAUCUAUUUGACCCUGUUAUUAUUGGGUUAAAGAUGACUGGUCAGUGGUUUGUAACUGUUGGUGUAACUUGUAUCUACCUUUGUGCUGUAGAUUUACCUCAUGAGUCAUGAAGAUCAGGCCCAAGAACACAGAGCUGAUAUGAAUUGAGUGCACUACGAUGACUUCAUCCCCAUGUUUGAGAAGCAGUACCCACUGUAUCCAUGGAAGGGGGUGGAAGCAGAGGCGUUCAAGGCCUUCGGGGAGUUCUUCCAGGCCGCCUCGUGCCGCCCGGCUCCGUGUGGUGUGUGUCCGUACCCGUCGUCCCGGGCCAUCUAUGCCGUGGACCUCAUGCUGAAGUGGAGUACGGGGCAAAAUGGUGAGCGCGUCAUGAAGCCUCAGAUCCUGGAGUUCAACUUCAGCCCAGACUGCGCCAGGGCCUGCCUCUACCACCCCUCCUUCUACAACCACAUGUUCCAGACGCUGUUCCUGGAUCAGCCCGAGCACUGUCCGGUCACACAAAUCGCAUGAUCCUCUGUCUUUGUCUGUAACCGGUGUACCAUCUACGCUCCAGUUGAUAUUCACAUAUUCCUUGUGAAUCUUUAAAUCAUUUGCGAUGAACCUCAAGUAUUAACUCUGUUCAGAUGGAAAUAGAACAACAACUGCUAAGUGUGUUAAUGUGCAGAAGAGGAAAUGUAUUCAUUUGAUGUGUGAAAAGUUGUUAGGCAAAAACAAAUCUAUUUGACCCUGUUAUUAUUGGGUUAAAGAUGACUGGUCAGUGGUUUGUAACUGUUGGUGUAACUUGUAUCUACCUUUGUGCUGUAGAUUUACCUCAUGAGUCAUGAAGAUCAGGCCCAAGAACACAGAGCUGAUAUGAAUUGAGUGCACUACGAUGACUUCAUCCCCAUGUUUGAGAAGCAGUACCCACUGUAUCCAUGGAAGGGGGUGGAAGCAGAGGCGUUCAAGGCCUUCGGGGAGUUCUUCCAGGCCGCCUCGUGCCGCCCGGCUCCGUGUGGUGUGUGUCCGUACCCGUCGUCCCGGGCCAUCUAUGCCGUGGACCUCAUGCUGAAGUGGAGUACGGGGCAAAAUGGUGAGCGCGUCAUGAAGCCUCAGAUCCUGGAGUUCAACUUCAGCCCAGACUGCGCCAGGGCCUGCCUCUACCACCCCUCCUUCUACAACCACAUGUUCCAGACGCUGUUCCUGGAUCAGCCCGAGCACUGUCCGGUCACACAAAUCGCAUGAUCCUCUGUCUUUGUCUGUAACCGGUGUACCAUCUACGCUCCAGUUGAUAUUCACAUAUUCCUUGUGAAUCUUUAAAUCAUUUGCGAUGAACCUCAAGUAUUAACUCUGUUCAGAUGGAAAUAGAACAACAACUGCUAAGUGUGUUAAUGUGCAGAAGAGGAAAUGUAUUCAUUUGAUGUGUGAAAAGUUGUUAGGCAAAAACAAAUCUAUUUGACCCUGUUAUUAUUGGGUUAAAGAUGACUGGUCAGUGGUUUGUAACUGUUGGUGUAACUUGUAUCUACCUUUGUGCUGUAGAUUUACCUCAUGAGUCAUGAAGAUCAGGCCCAAGAACACAGAGCUGAUAUGAAUUGAGUAAGACCCAAAAGUUGAUUUAUGCAUUCUUCUAUUGUGAAUUAUUCCAAAGUGAUUUAAUAAACAUGAAAUUAUUGAAAUAAUGCUUCUGGUGACAGAAAGCACUGCAAGAUAAACUGUUGAAUGUGUCCUCAUAUGCCCUAGUCAUUGAGUCAUUUGACUAAAUGAGGAAGUGCAUCCUGCUGGGGGAAAUACAUCUGUGUGUUAAUCUGAUACAAUGAAUGGUGUCAGCUGAUCAGCUGGCUGGGAGAUGUGUGGAAGAGGGGACGGCUCAACUGGACAACAGAGGGACUCGGAGCAUUGAGUUGCAUUUGGCUUUGGACACUGUGGCACUCAGCUGAGGACAUCAUCUCUUUGUCCAAAUAAUAAAUACAUGUUUAACUGUAAAAGCCCAGAACUGACCCAGACCACAGCAUUUGUCAUGUGGAUUUUAAUACACAGCUGCAUAGUAUCAAAUAUUUUGGAUUCCAAACAUCUCUCCCACCAACUGAGACCUGGGUGCCUUAUCACCACCACCAACCCCCCUCAGUUUGAAGGUCAGAGCUCUGAGCUGUCUUUCUCUAAAAGAAAACAAAUGUAUCCAGUUUCAACUUCUUUGUUCACAGUGACCUCGGUGAACCUCAGAAAUCCCUUUUUUCCCACUGAAAAUAGCAAUAAACUCAAGUUUGACCUU